UACGUAGGGUGCAAGCGUUGUCCGGAAUUAUUGGGCGUAAAGAGCUCGUAGGCGGUCUGUCGCGUCGGCUGUGAAAGCCCGGAGCUCAACUCCGGGCCUGCAGUCGAUACGGGCAAACUGGAGUGUUGCAGGGGAGACUGGAAUUCCUGGUGUAGCGGCGAAAUGCGCAGAUAUCAGGAGGAACACCGGUGGCGAAGGCGGGUCUCUGGGCAACAACUGACGCUGAGGAGCGAAAGCGUGGGGAGCGAACAGG
rnacentral:rRNA from 1 species